CUCGCCGGCAGCCCCAGGCCCAGGCCUCGCGAGGGUCCCGGCAGCCGCCCCACUGGACACGGGCCGCGACCCGGUUCCCUGAGCGGCCGGCAUGAACCGCAAGAAGCUGCAGAAGCUAACGGACUCCUUAACUAAAAAUUGCAAGCACUUUAAUAAAUUUGAAGUGAAAUGCCUUAUCAAUCUUUUCUAUAACUUGGUGGGUGAUGUGACAGAGCGGCAGGGUUUGGACGUCGGGCUGGAUCGGAACGCCUUUCGGAACAUCCUGCACGUGACAUUUGGGAUGACGGACGACAUGAUCAUGGACAGAGUAUUCCGAGGGUUUGACAAAGACAAUGAUGGUUGCAUAACUGUAUCAGAGUGGGUGUAUGGAUUAUCCGUGUUUCUUCGAGGAACUCUGGAAGAGAAAAUGAAAUAUUGCUUUGACGUGUUUGACUUGAACGGCGACGGCUUCAUCUCGAAGGAGGAGAUGUUCCACAUGCUGAAGGAUAGCCUCCUGAAGCAGCCGUCCGAGGAGGACCCCGACGAAGGAAUCAAAGACCUGGUGGAAAUAACCCUGAAGAAAAUGUACUUAGCCUCAUACUUUUCUGACGUCUUCUUUGUGAACGCUGGGCCAUGAGAAGACAGUGUGUGUUUGUGAUGUUUUCCAUGUUAACUGCGGUGUGGCCGGUUGCCCCCAGGACCACGACCACGACGGGAAGCUGUCCUUCGCAGACUAUGAACAGGCUGUGAGGGAGGAGACUCUUCUGCUGGAAGCAUUUGGACCGUGUCUUCCUGACCCAAAGAACCAGAAAGAAUUUGAAGC